CGUAGGUGGCGAGCGUUGUCCGGAAUUAUUGGGCGUAAAGAGCGCGUAGGCGGGUAGGUAAGUCUGUCUUAAAAGUGCGGGGCUCAACCCCGUGAUGGGACGGAAACUGUUUAUCUUGAGUACCGGAGAGGAAAGUGGAAUUCCCAGUGUAGCGGUGAAAUGCGUAGAUAUUGGGAGGAACACCAGUGGCGAAGGCGACUUUCUGGACGGUGUCUGACGCUGAGGCGCGAAAGCCAGGGAAGUGAACGGGAUUAGAUACCCCGGUAAUCCUGGCCGUAAACGAUGGGUACUAGGUGUAGAGGGUAUCGACCCCUUCUGUGCCGGAGUUAACGCAAUAAGUACCCCGCCUGGGGAGUACGGCCGCAAGGUUG
rnacentral:rRNA from 1 species